AACGAACGCUGGCGGCGCGCUUAACACAUGCAAGUCGAACGAGAAGGCGUAGCAAUACGCUUGUACAGUGGCGAACGGGUGAGGAAUACAUGGGUAACCUACCCUCGAGUGGGGGAUAACCCGCCGAAAGGCGGGCUAAUACCGCGUACGCUUCCGAUCUUGCGGGAUUGGAAGGAAAGCUGUCCCUUGGGGAUGGCGCUCAAGGAUGGGCUCAUGUCCUAUCAGCUUGUUGGAGGGUAACGGCCUACCAAGGCAUCGACGGGUAGCUGGUCUGAGAGGACGAUCAGCCACACUGGCACUGCGACACGGGCCAGACUCCUACGGGAGGCAGCAGUGAGGAAUAUUGCGCAAUGGGCGAAAGCCUGACGCAGCGACGCCGCGUGGGGGAUGAAGGUCUUCGGAUUGUAACCCCUUUCGGGAGGGAGACGGCCUUAGACAACUAAGGCGGACGGUACCGUCCAGAAGCAGCCACGGCUAACUUCGUGCC
rnacentral:rRNA from 1 species